UGGGCCUACGGGGGCAGCAGUGAGGAAUAUUGGUCAAUGGCCGAGAGGCUGAACCAGCCAAGUCGCGUGAGGGAAGACGGCCCUACGGGUUGUAAACCUCUUUUGUCGGGGAGCAAAGCGAGUCACGUGUGACUCAUUGAGAGUACCCGAAGAAAAAGCAUCGGCUAACUCCGUGCCAGCAGCCGCGGUAAUACGGAGGAUGCGAGCGUUAUCCGGAUUUAUUGGGUUUAAAGGGUGCGUAGGCGGAUUUUUAAGUCAGCGGUAAAAUGUCCGGGCUC
rnacentral:rRNA from 1 species